rnacentral:lncRNA from 1 species
GCACCAAAGCAGUAAAUUGUUGAGUGUCUACGGUGAUGACCGGAUAUGAGGAACUCGCUCUACUGAUGGAGAUGGGAGAUCUUUCCAGUAAGAAGAUUGCUGGGUAGAGCCAGUGAAAAUAUUUUGAGCUCUCAUUUUUCUCAUGAUGAUUGAUCUUCCUCCUGCUUGGCAUGCCAAUCUAUUACGGCCAACCCCUGAUUGCACCU